UGCAGAAUCCCGUGAACCAUCGAGUCUUUGAACGCAAGUUGCGCCCCAAGCCUUCUGGCCGAGGGCACGUCUGCCUGGGUGUCACAAAUCGUCGUCCCCAUUCUUUGCGGAUAAGGGACGGAAGUUGGUCUCCCGUGUGUUACCGCACCCGGUUGGCCUAAAUCCGAGCUGAAGACGUUUGGAGCGUCUCGACAUGCGGUGGUGAAACAAAGCCUCGUCAUUUCGUCGGUCGCUCCUGUCCGAAUGCUCUUGAUGACCCAAUGUCCUUCACGCGACCCCAGGUCAGGCGGGAUCACCCGCUGAGUUUAAGCAUAUCAAUAAGCGGAGGAGAAGAAACUAACAAGGAUUCCCUUAGUAACGGCGAGCGAACCGGGAAGAGCCCAGCUUGAAAAUCGGACGUCUUUGGCGUUUGA
rnacentral:rRNA from 1 species